GUUUAGAAUAGCUACAGGAUGGUGGGGGGUGUCUGCACUGUCUUGGAGGGUCUUAGAAUUUCAGCCUGAAGGCUGUGAUAGAUAACAACUGAACAGCUUUAACAGGAGAGACUUACCAGAGUAGGUGAAGAGGGCAGGGGCAGCAUGGAGGCAGGUGAUAAUCACAGUAAUCCAGACAAGAGGAACUAAAAGCCACUACUCCACUUGUGGUACUGGGAAAUGAGGUGAGACUGGAUUCAACAGGCAAGUUUGAGGCAGAAAUGAUAGAGGGCAACUGGUUUGGGGGAAAGAGAAGGAGGAAGUUUAAAAAUGACUGGGGAACUGAACUGCAAGGGUUUAUUUAGCAAGCAAAUGGAAGUGAGCUGGAAGACUGGAGUUCAUCUGUCCUGUGCUCCCAUUCAGCCCCCACCCCACAAGGGCUGAGAGACUAGGAGACUUCUACUCCAGCUUUUCUUCUGGAAUUUUCCCAAAUGAAAGGCCAAUGUGCACUCCUAGGCCUACUCCUCUGUCCUGUACUGGCAGACCCAGCCCUCUACCAAUCUCCAGAGGCACACAUCUCCCCAGAAGACCCUUACCUUGUCUUCACAACAUGGACUAGUUUUCACUAGCGUAUGUCAUCUGCUACUCUUCUGGACCUUUUGCAGGGAGCUGAUGCCCUGAAUCCCAUGACUCUGUUAACUGGAUUGGUGGUCUCAGGUCCAGGCCAAGAUGCUAGCCCAUUACCUGCUUUACUGCGUGGUGCUUAUCCAAAACUCCUUUAGGUCCCACCACUUGUGGGAUGGUGAGGAGGGAGAAGGCAGCGAAGGGCCAGGGAUACAAAAUCUACCAUUAUACAGGAUAGUCAUUUCUACAGUUUUCCACACUUUAGCAGAAUUACCAGACCCCAAAGGCUGCUAUAAGAUAAUUUAUUACACACUAGCCAAAAAUGUCCUGUAACAAUGGCACAUAUAAUAAUUAACAACAGCAAAGAUG